CUUAGCUUCCAAAACUCCUUUAAUUUGCAUAAAACUCAAAAUAUAAUAAAAUCCCUUCAAAACAUAUUUUUAUCUGCGAAAGAUUUUCUCUUCUUGAACUUUAGAAAUUCAUAACUCUUGAUCUAGCUGUUCAAUUUGUCUCAAAUUUAUAGAAUAGGUAGAAUUCUCUCUUAAUUUUAACCACAAAAAAAACCAACUACGAAUUCACUCUUGAUCUUUUGGCAUCUAAGAAACCCUAGCAAAUGCUCUAAACCCUAAUUUACAAGCACUUGAGCACUAUUCUCUUAAUAUCUGAAGAAUCCAAAACUCAAAUGUUAUCAAACUCAUGUAUAAAGUUUACUAACAUGAAUUUACACAUUCCCUAAAAUUUUGAGCCAAAACCUUGUCAAACUGCUCAAGAUAUAGCUCAAGUCACAACCACUAGUAAAUCGAAUCACUUGCUACCCUUAGAUUGCAUGCGCUGACUUCAAAAUCCAAUAACUCCUUUACUUCAACUUAGAAUCCAGCAAGCAGUAUGCAAAAAGUUUAGCCGCAAAAGUG
rnacentral:lncRNA from 1 species